UCAGAAAACAACCUCAUAUCUAUUUUGUGAACCUGUCCCAGGAUUAUGCUUCUUGGAAAGCCGGGGAGGCAGCGGUGAAAGAUGAGAAAGGUACAAGGCACAGCAUUGUCCCAGCAACUUUGAGAAGAUCAACAUCCUCAACAUCACAUCCUUGGAAGCAGAGGUGCAUUUCUGCUUUGAACACGAUCGCAGAAUGGACGUGUUCCGUUUAGACCCUCCCAGCAUAAGGCUUAAACCUAAUGAGAAGCAGGAGUUGAGCAUUUGGGCGUACCCCACUUCAACUGGGCUCAAGGAAGACAACCUCAUCUGCUGUAUUGAGGACAACCCAGACCCAGUGGUCUUCCGCCUGUGCUGCCAGGGAGUGCAGGUGAAGCUGGAGGUCAGCCCCAAGAAGGUGCAGUUCAACAGGCUGCUUCUGCACAGGACGGACAGCAAGACCGUGGUCCUGCACAAGCCUACCCCGCUGCCCGUGGCCUGGCGGAUCCGUGGGCUGGAAGGCCUUGGGGAGGGCUUCUCAGUGUCGCAGGAUGCAGGCAUCAUUGGUCCCUGCUCAGAGUUUGGCAUGCGUUUGUGUUUCGAGGCCACAAAGGUUGACGACAUUAAGAAGACAUUCCAAGUAGAGGUUUCAGAUGCAGAAAAACUCCUGGGCAUUGUUCAGGUUGAAAGUUGUCCAAGUCUUUGCGGAGGCCUAUGACAUUGGUCUGGACAUCAACGUUUCUACAGGUGAAGGUAGCUGCACAAGCCUUUACGGAUCGGCCGUAGAUGUCAGCAUUGGGCUGAAGAGGAGCUUCUUGGCAAUUGAGAAGACUUACCUGACUAUGGCAAACCGCAGCUCUGUGGUCCUCCACAAUCGAAGUGGAAUUACAGCCCACUUCCAGUGGAAGGCUGUUGCUACUCGGGAACUGGAAGAUCAGCGGAAGCUGAGGCUGUGCCACAGGCUGCAGAGGCGGGAGAAUGAGAUGGAUUCUUUCCUCAAGGAGUGCACGGGGGUCCCCACUCCCCGAGAACACGCUCGUCUUCUCUCCCACAGCUUCCAGAACCAGAGGGCAAAAGUGCAAGGAGACUCCAUGCUG